AUUGAACGCUGGCGGCAUGCUUUACACAUGCAAGUCGAACGGUAACAGGCCGCAAGGUGCUGACGAGUGGCGAACGGGUGAGUAAUGCAUCGGAACGUGCCCAGUCGUGGGGGAUAACGCAGCGAAAGCUGCGCUAAUACCGCAUACGAUCUCUGGAUGAAAGCGGGGGACCGAAAGGCCCCGCGCGAUUGGAGCGGCCGAUGUCAGAUUAGGUAGUUGGUGGGGUAAAGGCCCACCAAGCCAACGAUCUGUAGCUGGUCUGAGAGGACGACCAGCCACACUGGGACUGAGACACGGCCCAGACUCCUACGGGAGGCAGCAGUGGGGAAUUUUGGACAAUGGGCGCAAGCCUGAUCCAGCAAUGCCGCGUGCAGGAAGAAGGCCUUCGGGUUGUAAACUGCUUUUGUACGGAACGAAACGGUCCGGGUUAAUACCCUGGGCUAAUGACGGUACCGUAAGAAUAAGCACCGGCUAACUACGUGCCAGCCGCCGCGGUAACAC
rnacentral:rRNA from 1 species